rnacentral:lncRNA from 1 species
GGUUGUCAAAUCGUUGGGAUUAAUCUAUGUCCUUGGCAGGACAAUGUCCCAGGGUGGCUAUGCCGCAUAUCUUUGUCAGGAUUGUCAAAUCGGCUCUAACUCAUCUCGUACUUUAUGAGAGAUCCAAAAUGGUGAACGAGAAAUUGGGGAGCAGCAGAAGUUAAACCCCAACAGGACGCAAAUGAAAAACCCCAAAGGAAAUCGCAAGAAGAUCAACCCAGC